rnacentral:rRNA from 1 species
AUUGAACGCUGGCAGCAUGCCUUACACAUGCAAGUCGAACGGCAGCACGGGUGCUUGCCCCUGGUGGCGAGUGGCGAACGGGUGAGUAAUGCAUCGGAACAUGUCCUAUAGUGGGGGAUAGCCCGGCGAAAGCCGGAUUAAUACCGCAUACGAUCUACGGAUGAAAGCGGGGGACCUUCGGGCCUCGCGCUAUAGGGUUGGCCGAUGGCUGAUUAGCUAGUUGGUGGGGUAAAGGCCUACCAAGGCGACGAUCAGUAGCUGGUCUGAGAGGACGACCAGCCACACUGGGACUGAGACACGGCCCAGACUCCUACGGGAGGCAGCAGUGGGGAAUUUUGGACAAUGGGCGAAAGCCUGAUCCAGCAAUGCCGCGUGUGUGAAGAAGGCCUUCGGGUUGUAAAGCACUUUUGUCCGGAAAGAAAUCCUUGGCCCUAAUACGGUCGGGGGAUGACGGUACCGGAAGAAUAAGCACCGGCUAACUACGUG